CGCUGAGGGACGUUGGGGGUGCUGAGGGGACGCCCGCAGGGGCCGCUGAGGGACGUGGGAGUGUUGAGACACAGACACAGGAAGCAUCAACUCUGAGGCUUUGGCCAGGAUGUGAGCCCGACUUUCGCAGCCCCAACUGGCAGGCUGACCUCAUGUGAACUCCCUGGCGAUGGCAUCCUGGAGACACCCACAUGGCUGAGCUGGCACCAUAGGGUGAGGGCACCAGGGCCAUGGGGACCGUGGUUGCUUGCCUCAGACAUGGCCA
rnacentral:lncRNA from 1 species